UCCGUAGGCGGUCUUAUAAGUCAGUGGUGAAAGCCCAUCGCUCAACGAUGGAACUGCCAUUGAUACUGUAAGACUUGAAUUUUUGUGAAGUAACUAGAAUAUGUAGUGUAGCGGUGAAAUGCUUAGAUAUUACAUGGAAUACCAAUUGCGAAGGCAGGUUACUAACAAACGAUUGACGCUGAUGGACGAAAGCGUGGGGAGCGAACAGGAUUAGAUACCCCUGUA
rnacentral:rRNA from 1 species